rnacentral:rRNA from 1 species
UACGGAGGGUGCAAGCGUUAAUCGGAAUUACUGGGCGUAAAGCGUGCGCAGGCGGUUUGUUAAGUCCGUUGUGAAAGCCCCGAGCUCAACUUGGGAAUUGCAGUGGAUACUGGCAGGCUUGAGUACGGUAGAGGAAGGUGGAAUUCCCGGUGUAGCAGUGAAAUGCGUAGAUAUCGGGAGGAACACCAGUGGCGAAGGCGGCCUUCUGGGCAGUAGCUGACGCUGAGGCGCGACAGCGUGGGGAGCAAACAGG